rnacentral:lncRNA from 1 species
AAUAGCCCCAGGGUUCUGGCUACUUAGCGCGGCAAUAGCAACUGCUGGCUUGUCAUAGACAGGGUUGAAUUGGAAAUGGAUGAGCCCUUGUGGGAAUACAAACACAUCACCCUUGUUGAGCACCUUUGCAAACAGUUUGUUUGGGUUCGAGGUGACAAAUCCAACAUACAGGGUCCCCUCGAGCACGGUGAGGAUCUCUGUGGCACGUGGGUGGGUGUGUGGUGGAUUCUGACCUAACGGCGCAUAGUCAAUGCGGGCCAAUGAGAUGCCUAGUGUGUUGAGUCCAGGCAACUGCAUGACAUUGAUCAAAGUGACAUUGGAUCCAACCUUGCUCUUCUUGGUGUCCAUAGGCUUAUCAAGGUUGGCUGCUUUGAAGAAGUCAUCUGCGUUCACGGCCAUGGGGUCCUUGCAAACAAAUCCAUUGACCUUCACUGCAAAUAUAGAUGAAAGAAAAUUGGUAAACACAUAUUAGAAAUUAUUAGAGGCAGUAAAUAAAGAUGCUUUUUGCAUGUAGAUGUAUGUUAACAAAUGAUUUUUUUGUGAUCAUAGAUUUGAUUAAGAAACACAUAAUGAUUUGAAGCAACUGCGUUCGUACCAGGAGAGUGUAUGUCGGCAACACAAAAGUCCUGGAGCGGGCCAGGGUCGGAAGCAAUGGCUUGAGAAGUGACCAUCGCUAGAAAAGCUGCGAGCAGAAAGUAGGAGGCAGCCAUUUGAGUUUGUCUCAGCUUUUGUGUUUGAGCUCUGAAGUAGACUAUUCAGCUGCUUGCGAUUGUGUAUGUCUUGUUGCUGCUUUGGGCAUGAAGAUGGUGGGCUUAUAUAGGCUGCCACAGAAAGUGGCAACAUGAAGUUGACGACUGAACUAGUCUAGCUAUGUUGAACGUACCAAAACAGAAGAAACGGUCUCUGGCUGCUAGAAGCUGAUGAUGAAACAACGCAAUAAAAAUUUAAAGCCGGUAACUAAUUCCUUGAUGUGUAGUGGUUUAAUUAUUUGUUAAUUGUUACCACGCAAGGUACUGCUGCUGAUACGGUUCAGAAAGAAAGCGCCCUCGUCCAUUAUUUACUUAACUAACUGCCACAGAAAAGUUGAAAUAUGGAGAUGAUCAACUUUCUAAAGCAAACUGACAGGGUCACACGAUAUGAGCCCUGCACAGGCGCGUAGUUGGUGCACUAUGAUAGUUGUGAAAACUAGAAAAAUGGUAUGGUGCAUCCCGGUCAAUAUGUGCUUGCACACACACAUACGUACAGAAAGAGUCGACAAUGCAAAGGUGUUUAUUUUUAGAUUAAUUCAAUUUGUAUACCUCAUACAAUAAUCAAUCUCCCUAUCGUCAUUCAUGAUCACGUCAUCUUUUUUUUUUUUUUGCGAAAAGCAUGAUCACCUCAUUAGGAAUAGAAGAUUUAGCCCAGUGCAAUGCAUCCGUACCAAAAAGGGGGAGCACUUGUACAAGGGUAGCUGUUGCACACGGUUUACUUGUACAAGGCUAUCGCUACUAGAUCAGAAACAGUUAUCUGUCUAUUCAACUCCUUGACUUGUUUAUAUCACACACAUAUCAUCACACCCGUAUAGGAAACUGCUGUUUAAUUUAGGCCAAGUAUUCGGGCGUUGCUAAGUGGUUUAUUUGCUAUGAUUUAAGAACUACAGGAUCAGGUGAUAGUUAAUAAUGCUCUAGAAGCAUAUAUCAUUAUUUAAAAUACUGAUAAGUAUUAGACAAUACAAAAAGUGUUUUGAAUUAAAUCUCAAAACCAUGAACAUAUGUCUAUCCACAUAAUAAUUAUUUCUCCGUUAAUCUUAAUAUACUGGUUUUAACUUAAAAAGAAAACAUGAUCACCAACUUUUUGUUUACUGAGUCUAUGCUUGAUACUUUAUUAGUGUAUGGCGGGACGGCUGCUGCUUAGUGAUUCAAGAUGGUCAGCAUUAAUUUUAAAAAAAUGUAGAAGUUUAGAUUAUGGAGUAAUGUUCAUAAAAGAGAUUUCCAUUAAUCAAUACAGUGCUCGAGAUCCAAAUGAAAAAUGUUGAAGCUGGUAAAUGAUUCUUUUAUGCGUAGUGGUUUGUCAAUUGUUACCAUCCAAGGGGAUUUUAUUGAUUUGAUUCAUAAAGAAAGUGUCAUCCAUUAUUUAGUUAAUUAACUGAUAGAAAAUUGAAAUAUGAAGAUGAUUUAGUUUUCUAAAACAAAACAGAGUCACACAAAAAUUAUAAGGAUGGCAUAUGAGCAGCUUGUGGACUGUUAUAGUUGCAGAAACUAGAAAAAUGGUAUGGUGCAGUGCAAAGGUCAAACUAUGCUUGCGCUCACCUAAAUAAGAGUAAAAAGCGUGCAGAAAUCUAUUGUUACUUCCUAAUAUCUGCACAUUGUACCUCAUACAAAGAACAAUUUCCCUGUACUCAUGUUUACGUGAUACCAAGAAGGCAUGCAAGAACAACUUGUAGAGGGGCAGCUGCCACACACGAUUUACUUUUGAGUUAAUCAAGUAAGCUUCUAUGCAUGAGCUCGAGUGCCCACUUGGAGAUCUGUCCCAUGGCGUCGCGGUCACAGAUCUACCCCAGUGGGUACGAGGUGAUGACCGUGACCUCGUGGUCGGUGAAGUAGUGCAGGAGCUUCCGGGUCGCCAUCAGCACGGCAUACAGAAGCUUCUGGACUUGGGGGUAGCAAACGAAGUACACCGCUUGUUGGACCUUCAGCGUGUGUCCCGGCUCCUCCCUCUUGACGAUGAUGGCAGCGCUGACCAUGUGGUUGCUGGCCGCAAUGUAGAGGAGGAGAGGUUCUCCCCGUUUGGGAGCGACGAGGAUUGGGGCUGACAUCAGCGACACUUUGAGGCUUUCCAAAGCCUGUUGUGCCUCCUCCGUCCAAACGAAAGCGUCUAUUUUCUUGAGGAGUUUGUAGAGAGGCAUCCCCCGUUUGCCUAGCCGGGAGAUGAACCAGGUUAAGGUGGUCAAGCAACCAUUUAGCCUCUGUAUGCCCUUGACAUUGCGUAUGAGGCCCAUGUUGGUGAUGGCCGUGAUCUUUUCGGGGUUGGCUUCAAUGCUGCGCUCGGGCACGAUGUAUCCAACACCUUCCCCUUUGGAACCCUGAAAACGCAUUUCUCAGGAUUCAGUUUGACGCUGAACCUUUGGAGGUUCGUGAAUGUUGUGGCUAAGUUCUCGAUCAGGUCUCUUGCUUGAGCCAUUUUUACUACUAUGUUGUCCACGUAGACGGCAAUAGUAGGUUUUGGCCGCUCGACUUGGUUGGGCUAGUCGGGUGGAUCGAUUUGAUCGGCGAAGCAUCGCUUCAUGCAUCAUUGAUAGGUGGCACCCGCGUUCUUCAAACUGAACGGCAUGGUCACGUAAUAGUAUGAACCAUACGGGGUGAUGAAGGAGGUUGCGACCUAGUCGGUCUCUUUCAUCGCGAUCUGGUGGUAGCCUGAGUAGGCAUCCAGAAAGGAGAGGAUUUCGCAUCCUAAGGUGGAGUCGACUAUCUGAUCUAUACGCAGUAACGGAAAAUGAUCCUUGGUUCAUACCUUGUUAAGACCAGUAUAGUCAACACACAUUCUCCAUUUCCCAUUCUUCUUUUUUACAAGAACAUGAUUGGCGAGCUAGUCAAAGUGGUACACCUCCUUGAUGAAGCCCUGCUAGGAGUUUGGCGAUUUCCUCACCUAUGGCCCUUCGCCUCUCAUCAUCAAAACAAUGUAGGCGUUGCUUGAUGGGCUUUCAGCCUGGGGAGAUGCGUAGUGUGUGCUCGGCGACCUCCCUCGAUAUGCCAAACAUGUCAGAAGGUUUCCAUGCGAAGAUAUUCCGAUUUGCGCACAGGAAGUCGAUGAGCUCUCCUUCCUAUUUGGUCGGGAGCUGGGUCCCGAUCUGCACCAUCUUGGUCGGGUCGCUAGGUUCGACCUCCACCGCCUUGGUUACCUCGAUCGGACGUACGACGCUCAUGGAGGUCGACUCAUUGUAGUUGGGGACUGCCGGCGCGGCCGCAUUCCCAAGCUUCAGGAGCUCGGCGGAGUUGACGAUGCUAGUGGUGAGCUCAUAGUGCUCGUGGUCGCAUGUGUAGGCAUGCGAGAAGGUGCUACCCACGGUGAUGACAUCGUUCGGUCCCGGCAUCUUCAGCUUGAGGUAGGUGUAGUUGGGAACCACCAUGAACUUGGCAUAGCAUGGCUGCCCCAGGAUGGCGUGGUAGGACCUCGGAAAGUCCACUACCUCGAAGGUCAGGACCUCUGUGCAGAUGUUGGCACGGUCACCAAACAUGACGUGCAGGGUGAUCUGCCCGAGUGGGUACGCCUACGCCCCUGGGAUCACAUCGUGGAAGGGAGAGCUCACAGGGCGGAGCUCUGACCAGGGGACGUUCAUGGUGUCGAGGGUCCCGAUGUACAGGAUGUUGAGGCCGCUGCCUCCGGCUAUCUGCACCCUGGUGAGGUGCUUCUUGUCAACGAUGGGGUUGACAACGAGCGGGUAGUGACCCUGUUGGGGAAUGUGGGAAGGAUGGUCCCUCUGAUCAAAUGUGAUCGGGGAGUCCGACCAGCGAAGGAAAGAGGGGAUGGCCAACUCGGCGGCACAUACCUCUCGAUAGUGCACCUUGCGCUGGCGCUUGCUGUGGUCGGUGUCAGCCCCCCCAAAGAUCAUGAGGCAUCCCUCAGGGUUGGGGAAGCCGUCUCCAUCCUUGCCCGCAACACCUCCCCUUCUGGCCGUGUCCUCCUUGCCUUUCCCCUCCUUGGGUUUGGCGGCUUGCUGCAGGAAGUGCUUGAGGAGCUCGUAGUCCUUGUAGAGGUGCUUGACGGGGUAGGCGUGGUUGGUGCACGGGCUCUCCAUGAGCUUGUUGAAGUGGUCGGGCUGACCCUGUUGGGGCUACUUGCCUAGGCGCUCGGUCACGGCGACUAGGGUCGGGUUGGUCAGGCGGCGCCAGUCCUUCUUGUUCUUCUUGCCCUUCUGUGCAGAGGGGCCCUCAUCCUGGACCUCACGCUUGGCCUUGCCCUUGUCCCGUCCGCCACUGAAGACCAUCCCGACUACCUCCUCGCUGGAGGCGUGGUUCGUGGCGAUGUCGAGCAGGUUGCGGGUGGUUCGGGGCUUCACGCAGCCAAGCUUGUGGACCAAGGACUUGCAGGUCAUCCCAGAUAGGAAUGCGCUGACGAUGUUUGUGUCGACAACAUCAGGAAGGGAGUUGCACUGCCUAGAAAACCUGCAAAUGUAAUCCCACAGGGACUCGUUGGGCUCCUGCUUGCAACUCUUGAGGUCCUAGGAGUUCCUGGGAUGGACGUACGUCCCCUGGAAGUUCCCGACGAAGACCUUCUUAAGGUCUGCCCAGUCGUGGAUGCUGUUGGGUAGAAGAAAUUCAAGCCAUGCUCGAACAAACUCUCCUACGCAGAUGGGGAGGUACUGGAUGAUGAAGUAGUCAUCAUCCGCUCCACCGGCUCGGCAGGCGAGCCGAAAGUCUUCGAGCCAUACACCAGGGUUCAUCUCCCAAGUGUACUUGGCGAUGUUGGUGGGCAGUCGGAAGCGCUGUGGGAAUGGCGCUUUCUGGAUGCGGCGACCAAAGGUCCCAGGUCCCGGGCUGUCCGAGCUGGGGCUCCGGUCGCUGUACCGGUCGCUCGGUCGGCCGCCACACCUAGGGUGCACCUCCUUGACCGCCCGGCAAGGUGGAAGCAGCAGAAGAAGAAAACAAAGAAGAAGAAGAAACUUUGCUAUUUUAAAGCAGAUUCAAACAAAAUGAAUUCAAAUAUGAAAUUUGAACUCAGCAACCAAAAUCAAUGCAACAGCAUGGAUGCAACAAUGCAAACCUAAGAUUCAUUAAUUAAAUUUUAGAAAAACAUUUAAAUGCCUAAGAAAUUGAAUAAAACCUUAGAAAAGCCUUAAAUCCUUAAACAAGCUCAAACAAUUUCUAGAAAAUACUAAUAAAUUUUUAUUCAGUUGCAAAAUUGAAAAUUUAGGGUGUUACAAGUCUUGUAUGUACAAAAAAUGUAAACAGGACAAAAAACAUGAGCAUAAUGGUGUGAAACUACCAGUUAUGCAUGAUCACAUAAAUUGUAUUAAACUAGUUUUACCAACAUUUACUUGGUUGCCAUUGUGUUGGAGUGGCGUUACUUGCAAGUUAAACAAGUAAUAUAAGUCCUACAUCAAUACCAGAUCAAAAACUACGUGGUCUGCCUAGUCACCUUCUUGACUUUGUUCGUAUCACACAUACCCUCUUACGUGCUCCUCAGGCAAGACGCAAGCAGCUGCACAGAUGAGAAAUGGUAUUUAGUUAGGUGAAGCAUGUGGCUGCGUGCCACUGUGGUGUAUGUUUCCUGUGCCUAUCGCGCCGUGGAGGCGGGUUGUCGUUGGGAUUUUGGCGUUUCCCCCCUUUGUUUGCUGUGCUGCGUAGAGUAGCCAAGUAGGAUCAGGCGCCUAGCCCCCAAGUAGGAUUAUAUGACUGAGGCCUAGACAAUGCACUUAGGCGCCCUGAUGACUCAAUUCCCUUGAAGUUUCCUCAGAAAGCUCUCGAAUCGUGGAGGCCCGGGGGCUCGUCGACUGGAUGCAUAUAGGGCGCCUAGCGGCCCUAAAUAACUAUAAUUAAAUCAUGUGUCUUGCAUAGGGCGCUCAGCGCCCUGGUGAAGGCCCAUCAAAUGGCUAGAAAUAGUGGUUACAUAUUACCAGCGCAAUAGUGGUUACAUAGAUUUUUUUGAGUCAGAAAAUGAAUUCCUACACAAUAGUGGUUACAUAUUACCAGCGCAUUAAAAUGGCUAAUGUAGCAUUAAAAUUUGUGAAGAUAUAAAGACAUAAUCACACAUAUGGUAAAAGAUAAUGGCUAAUUGGUGGAUCGAUCGCAAAGGAAAUUGAGGCGCACCAUUCAAGCCAUGCAUGGACUCAUAUGUACGGAAGAGUUGACAGUGCCGAUAAUGACAUUAACAUUACACUGCACCUAACCCAAAGUAACAAACAUUCAAACACAUUAGUCACUAAACACAUAUAAUAUUAGUGUUCCCAAGUUGUCUCUCAUGCUUAAUUCGGUCUUACGCAUCGGAUGAUGCAAUUGGUCACCAACAGCAGGAAACCCACAGCAGCGUUAACUACUAUACCAUUAUUUCCUCACGGUCAUGAACUUCGAAGUGUAUGUGCCUGACGACAAGGGGAUGCUGGCCAGCGAUCAUGCGCUGUUCUUGAGCCCAGAGUUGUUGUCGUUCGUGGUGUGCCGGUCCCAGAUGGUCGGUUGCAAGAGCAACUACUACAUCUAUUCGUUGGUUGUUCACGCAUCGACGACGCCCAGAGAAGCUAGGGUGUGUACUGCAUGGAGGAAGGCCAGGGAGAUUCUACUUGACCAGGGCCUCAGACCUUUACUGGGCCUGGAAAACGCUGCGCGGCACAUAUGCUUUGCUAUCCCUAGAGCUAGGGCAUGUACAAUAACUUGUUUCAUUCAAAAGUCAAAAGUUGCAGGUUCAUUAUAAACUCACAUGCUACAACAUUUAUUUUCAUAGAUAAAACCGGGUCCAUAAGUUAAUUUUAUAUAAGCUUCCCGUACAUGAAUAUAUGUAUCCCAAACAGGACAGUACAUCUCGUAGGCACACAGCAACAGUAGCAGUAUAUAAAUACUGCCAUUUAUUUUACAUAACUUUCAGAUUGUAGAAACUAGAAACAAGUAGUUGUUUGCAAAAUGCAUGUCAACCAAACUUUCCAUACAAAGAAACCCGUGCUUGAUUUAGUUUAGUAGUGGUUGUUCUCCCAGAACUGAGCCUGGAGCCAAUCAAUUGUCCCCUUUUCCACCUGGAAUGCCUUGGCCAACACAUCAUCCGAGAUUGGUGGCUUUGAUCCAAAGACCGCAUUAGCGAUGGUAAUAGCCCCAGGGUUUUGGCUGCUGAGCGCAGCGAGUGCAACCGCUGGCUUGUCGUGGAUGGGGUUGAACUGGAAGUGGAUGAGCCCUUCGGGGAAUACAAACACAUCACCCUUGUUGAGGACCUUAGCAAACAAUGUGUUGUUUGGGUUGGAGGUGACAAACCCAACAUAGAGGGUCCCCUCAAGCACUGUUAGGAUCUCAGUGGCACGUGGGUGGGUGUGUGGUGGAUUCUCACCUAGGGGUGCAUAGUCAAUGCGAGCUAGAGAGAUGCCUAGAGUGUUGAGACCAGGGAGCUGCAAGGCACUGAUCAAUGUGACAUUAGAUCCCACCUUGCUAUGCGCGGUGUUCCUAGGCUCGUCAAGUUUAGCUGCCUUGAAGAAGUCAUCUGCAUUCACGGCCAUGGGGUCCUUGCAAGCAAACCCAUUCACCUUCACUGUAGAAGCCAAAUAGAUACACAUAGAUCAGAAACUAGGUAGCGCAGAAGAUUAGAAGUUCACUGUAUGCAAAGAACGAAGAAGGAAAAUAGAAACAGGAAGACGUGCACUCUGACAGAAGAGCACUUGUUUUGAUUCGUGUUUACUACAUUAACAUCAAAACAUGCAUUAAACUAAGCCAGUGUUCAUGCAUAUACCAGGAGAGUGCUUGUCAGCUACACAGAAGUCCUGGAGUGGGCUAGGAUCGGAAGCAUUAGCCUGGCAAGCGACCAAUGCUAGAAAAACAGCAAGAAGGAAGUAGGAGGAGGGGGCCAUUUUUGUUUCUCCUCGUGCUUCUUUGUCGGUGCUUUUCGCAGUAGGCUAACCAGCUGCUUGUGUUUGUUUUCUUGAUGCUUUGGUGAGGAAGAAGGGGGAUGGAUGUGUUUAUAUAGCCACAGCACGGUAGCAUCGUGAACGCCUGAACAACUGAGUAAGUCACACGUUGAACCGGCCAACAGAAGAACUGGUCUCUGGUUGCUAGAACCUGCUGAUGGAACAACACAGCUACAUCAACCUUUGAAAGCUAUAUCGCUUUCAAUAUUUUGACACGCUACUACCAAAUCUGAUCAGGUCUCUUUGCUCCUGGCCAAAUAUAGAAAAAGUAUACCCGUUCCUUUCUGUGUUGAAUGGCAUAAAUAAGAUGGUUACCCUGAGUGGCACACAUUUCAAUUUGAUCAAUCUCGUACAUCAAAAUUCUAGGGAGCUAAGGAACAAACAAAAAACAAAGGGAGAUGUGGUCGAUCUCGGUCGGAGGUUGUGGAUGACAGGUGGGGGCCACCUGUCAGCGGUGGAGCGGAGGCAUGUGUGGGAGCGGGCUGGUGUUGACGGCAGUUAGCACGCCAAAUUGUGAACCGCAAGCGCACGGAUCAGUUAUAUCUUCUCCCUCAGAGAUUCCCCCAAGGUUUAUCAAUCCACGAAACAAGGGAUUUGAACGCCUAACCAUGCACUAAUCGAUGUAACCGAAAGCUUUUUAUAUAGGAUAUGAUUAUGCUAUCAAAAGAACUAAGCAAUCUAGAUUAAGAUGGAUAGAGAGUAAAGGUUGUGGACAAGAUAGAUUAAACGCUUGUCCUAGGGAUCUAGGAUCACUUGUAGAUGCAAUCGCCAUGAAUGAGCGAAUUAGAUCUAGGUGUUAUCGUGAGUGGUUGUGAACCAUGUCAAACACUUUCCCACCCGCAAUAAUGUUACUGCACAGGGAUACUCAACUAUCGGAACAUAAGAACACCUCAAGAUGAUUAUUCUAGGUAAGCAAAUAAGCAACCCAAAGUAGCGCUGGCCAACCUUUACAUGAAAGAGCAUCAUCAAGAUAUGAUUGAUAACAAAACAGAUCUUAAACAAAGGUUCGACAAUUACAAAUCAAGAUCUUCAUACAACCAAGAGGACAAACAGAGGUAUUUCCUACUUGUGGUGGUAGUGGAUGGUGUUUACAUGGUGAUUUUUCUCUCUUCUCCAACUCUCCUUCCUUGAAAUUCGUGAUGGGGUAUUUAUAGUCUCAAAUAGGAGGCGGCUCUGGGUCAAUGUCGGUGAAAAUACCCUCGAGAUCAUCGUAUACUAAAUACUAAAGAAACGGGAGGCCGACCGGAUCAUGGAAUGGGCCAGGCUGAUCGCCCUGGGCCCUUCCUAGCACUUAUAGUCCUCUCCUUCCUUGUGCUGUCUUCCCUCGACGACCCAUGUCCAAAUAUCCAUUAAUAUCCUUAUAUAAACCCCCUUGAUUAUGUCGUAUUUCCUGCCAAAAUACAAUAUGCUCCAAAACACAACCCAUAUGCAAUAAUAUGGUUAUUUGAGGUGCCAAGUAGCGGGUUAGUAUAAGAAUAAGCAGGAAAACACUAGUUCAAUAGCACUAAAAGUGUAUCAAUAAUGAGCGUGAACAGCUGGCGCGGAGGAAAACGGUCCGAGGCAAGCUGGGCCAGCGGCCGGCGAGCUGGGCCAACAGAGGUGAGGCCAGCGGCCUGCUGCUGCAGCAGCUGAAAGAGGGCCCAGGCCGAAGGAAGAUGAAGGCCAGGUGGAAGAAGAACAAGAAAACAAAGAAAAAGAAGAAACUUUGCUAUUUUCAAACAGAUUCAAACAAAAUGAAUUCAAAUCUGAAAUUUGAACUCAGCAACCCAGCAACCAAAAUCAAUGCACUAGCAUGAAUGCAACAAUGCAAACCUAAGAUUCAUUAAUUAAAUUUCUGGAAAACAUUUUAAUGCCUAAGAAAUUGAAUAAAAUCUUAGAAAAGCCUUAAAUACUUAAACAAGCUCAAACAAAUUCUAGAAAAUUGUAAUAAAUUUUUAUUCAAUUGCAAAAUUGAAAAUUUAGGGUGUUACAAAUCUUGUAUGUACGGAAAAUGUAAACAGUAUAAAAAACAUCAGCAUAAUGGUGUGAAACCACCAGUUAUGCAUGAUCACAUAAAUUGUAUUAAACUAGUUUUACCAACAUUUACUUGGUCGCCAUUGUGUUGGAGUGGUAACUUGCAAGUUAAACAAGUAAUAUAAGUCCUCCAUCAAUACCAGAUCCUCCAUCAAGUUAAACUACGUGGUCUGCCUGGUCACCUUCUUGACUUUGUUCGUAUCACACAUACCCUCCGCUCCUCAGGCAGGAAGCAAGCAGCUGCACAAAUGAGAAAUGGUAUUUAGUUAGGCGAAGCAUGUGGCUGCGUGACACUGUGGUGUAUGUAAAACGAUACACGUCAUGCAUCAUACACUCAACUAACAAAUUUGACGUCUUCUCUUUGCUCUUAUCAAAAGAAAAGUAUGGCUUUCUUUUCUUUUUGCUAUUGGGAUGCAGGGUCCAAGAUGGUUACCUUUUGCAAAAAUAAAUUUUAAAUUAGGGAAUAGUGUAAAUUAGGGAGUUUCCCAGUAAUCAACAAAGUGCUCAAGAUUCUCAUGAAAAGUUUUAGAUCUAGUAAGCGAUGCCUUGUGUCUAGUGGCUAGAAGAACUUCGAGUCCACAAACUUUGGCUAAAUAUUACAAAAGAAUAUUGGAAGCAGGAGCAUAAAAAUUAUUGUACCUAGAUUGCAAGCAUGAGCAUAAAAAGUUAGGUACCACACUAGAAAUGCUGCAAUGGAUAGAAAAACAUCAUGUGUUUGAUAAGGGAUUUGAGGGAUAUUGAAUAUUGUAAAGAACAUGCUUCCUGAGAAUUAUGAAUUGCCAUCCACAGCAUAUGAAGCUAAACAAGUUGUUUGCCCUUUGGGAUUGGAGGUUCAAAAGAUACAUGCAUGCCCUAGUUGUAUCCUCUAUCGUGGUGAUGAAUACGAGAAAUUGGAUGCUUGUCUUAUGCGUGGAGCACUGCGGUAUAAGAUCAUGCGAGAUGAUCCUGGUGAUGUUGAGAGGCAGUCUCCCAACAAGAGAGUCCCGCGAACAUGAUGUUGUAUUUCCCUAUAAUACCAUGUUUCCUGAGGCUUUGAUUGAUAUUGUAAAAACCUGGGGCUUCUGUUUUUGCACGCUUUGCGUGAUAUUGUAAAAGCCUUUUUUAGCUCAAUGAAAGCUUUCAUCGUUAUAUGUUUCCUGUGCCUAUCGUGCCGUGGAGGCGGGUUAUCGUUGGGACUUUGGCAUUUUCCCCCUUUGUGUGCUGCGUACAGGGGCGGAUCGGGGGGGGGGGGGCUACGGGGGCUGCAGCCCUCCCAAGAGCCUGAUUUUACCUAUAAAAUACUGUAGAUAAAGUCUCAAAUCACCAUUAAUUUCUAGUUCUAGCCCUUAAUCUUUACUAUUUAGCCCCCCGAGAUGUUCAUCCUGGUUCUGCCCCUGGCUGCGUAGAGUAGCCAAGUAGGAUCAGGUGCCUAACCCCAAGUAGGAUUAUAUGACUGAGGCCUGGACAAUGCACUUAGGCGCCCUGAUGACUCAAUUCCCUUGAAGUCUCCUCAGAAAGCUCUCCCAUCGUGGAGGCCCGGGGGCUCGUCGACUGGAUGUAUAUAGGACGCAUAGCGGUCCUAAAUAAGUAUAAUUAAAUCAUGUGUCUUACAUAGGGCGCUCAGCGCCCUGGUGAAGGCCCAUCAAAUGGCCAGAAAUAGUGGUUACAUAUUACCAGCGCAAUAGUGGUUACAUAGAUUUUUUUGAGUCAGAAAAUGAAUUCCUACACAAUAGUGGUUACAUAUUACCAGCGCAUUAAAAUGGCUAAUGUAGCAUUAAAAUUUGUGAAGAUAUAAAGACAUAAUCACACAUAUGGUAAAAGAUAAUGGCUAAUUGGUGGAUCGAUCGCAAAGGAAAUUGAGGCGCACCAUUCAAGCCAUGCAUGGACUCAUAUGUACGGAAGAGUUGACAGUGCCGAUAAUGACAUUAACAUUACACUGCACCUAACCCAAAGUAACAAACAUUCAAACACAUUAGUCACUAAACACAUAUAAUAUUAGUGUUCCCAAGUUGUCUCUCAUGCUUAAUUCGGUCUUACGCAUCGGAUGAUGCAAUUGGUCACCAACAGCAGGAAACCCACAGCAGCGUUAACUACUAUACCAUUAUUUCCUCACGGUCAUGAACUUCGAAGUGUAUGUGCCUGACGACAAGGGGAUGCUGGCCAGCGAUCAUGCGCUGUUCUUGAGCCCAGAGUUGUUGUCGUUCGUGGUGUGCCGGUCCCAGAUGGUCGGUUGCAAGAGCAACUACUACAUCUAUUCGUUGGUUGUUCACGCAUCGACGACGCCCAGAGAAGCUAGGGUGUGUACUGCAUGGAGGAAGGCCAGGGAGAUUCUACUUGACCAGGGCCUCAGACCUUUACUGGGCCUGGAAAACGCUGCGCGGCACAUAUGCUUUGCUAUCCCUAGAGCUAGGGCAUGUACAAUAACUUGUUUCAUUCAAAAGUCAAAAGUUGCAGGUUCAUUAUAAACUCACAUGCUACAACAUUUAUUUUCAUAGAUAAAACCGGGUCCAUAAGUUAAUUUUAUAUAAGCUUCCCGUACAUGAAUAUAUGUAUCCCAAACAGGACAGUACAUCUCGUAGGCACACAGCAACAGUAGCAGUAUAUAAAUACUGCCAUUUAUUUUACAUAACUUUCAGAUUGUAGAAACUAGAAACAAGUAGUUGUUUGCAAAAUGCAUGUCAACCAAACUUUCCAUACAAAGAAACCCGUGCUUGAUUUAGUUUAGUAGUGGUUGUUCUCCCAGAACUGAGCCUGGAGCCAAUCAAUUGUCCCCUUUUCCACCUGGAAUGCCUUGGCCAACACAUCAUCCGAGAUUGGUGGCUUUGAUCCAAAGACCGCAUUAGCGAUGGUAAUAGCCCCAGGGUUUUGGCUGCUGAGCGCAGCGAGUGCAACCGCUGGCUUGUCGUGGAUGGGGUUGAACUGGAAGUGGAUGAGCCCUUGUGGGAAUACAAACACAUCACCCUUAUUGAGGAUCUUUGCAAAAAGCGUGUUGUUUGGGUUGGAGGUGACAAACCCAACGUAAAGAGUUCCCUCAAGCACUGUUAGGAUCUCAGUGGCACGUGGGUGGGUGUGUGGUGGAUUCUCACCUAGGGGUGCAUAGUCAAUGCGAGCUAGAGAGAUGCCUAGAGUGUUGAGACCAGGGAGCUGCAAGGCACUGAUCAAUGUGACAUUAGAUCCCACCUUGCUAUGCGCGGUGUUCCUAGGCUCGUCAAGUUUAGCUGCCUUGAAGAAGUCAUCUGCAUUCACGGCCAUGGGGUCCUUGCAAGCAAACCCAUUCACCUUCACUGUAGAAGCCAAAUAGAUACACAUAGAUCAGAAACUAGGUAGCGCAGAAGAUUAGAAGUUCACUGUAUGCAAAGAACGAAGAAGGAAAAUAGAAACAGGAAGAUGUGCACUCUGACAGAAGAGCACUUGUUUUGAUUCGUGUUUACUACAUUAACAUCAAAACAUGCAUUAAACUAAGCCAGUGUUCAUGCAUAUACCAGGAGAGUGCUUGUCAGCUACACAGAAGUCCUGGAGUGGGCUAGGAUCGGAAGCAUUAGCCUGGCAAGCGACCAAUGCUAGAAAAACAGCAAGAAGGAAGUAGGAGGAGGGGGCCAUUUUUGUUUCUCCUCGUGCUUCUUUGUCGGUGCUUUUUGCAGUAGGCUAACCAGCUGCUUGUGUUUGUUUUCUUGAUGCUUUGGUGAGGAAGAAGGGGGAUGGAUGUGUUUAUAUAGCCACAGCAGGUAGCAUCGUGAACUUCUGAACAACUGAGUAAGUCACACGUUGAACCGGCCAACAGAAGAACUGGUCUCUGGUUGCUAGAACCUGCUGAUGGAACAACACAGCUACAUCAACCUUUGAAAGCUAUGUCGCUUUCAAUAUUUUGACACGCUACUACCAAAUCUGAUCAGGUCUCUUUGGUCCAGGCCAAAUCUAUAAAAAGUAUACCCGUUCCUUUCUGUGUUGAAUGGCAUAAAUAAGAUGGUUACCCUGAGUGGCACACAUAUGAUGGUUACCCUUUUUCAAUUUGAUCAAUCUCGGACUUCAAAAUUCUAGGGAGUUAAGGAACAAACAAAAAACAAAGGGAGAUGUGGUCGAUCUCGGUCGGAGGUUGGGGAUAACAGGUGGGGGCCACCCAUCAGUGGUGGAGCGGAGGUGGGUGUGGGAGCGGGCUGGUGUUGACGGCAAUUAGCAUGCCAAAUUGUGAGAAAAUUGAAAUAUGAAGAUGAUUUAGUUUUCUAAAACAAAACAGAGUCACACAAAAAUUAUAAGGAUGGCAUAUGAGCAGCUUGUGGACUGUGAUAGUUGCAGAAACUAGAAAAAUGGUAUGGUGCAGUGCAAAGGUCAAACUAUGCUUGCGCUCACCUAAAUAAGAGUAAAAAACGUGCAGAAAUCUAUUGUUACUUCCUAAUAUCUGCACAUUAUACCUCAUACAAAGAACAAUUUACCUGUACUCAUGUUCACCUCAUACCAAGAAGGCAUGCAAGAACAACUUGUAGAGGGGCAGCUGCCACACACGAUUUACUUUUGAGUUAAUCAGGUAAGCUUCCAUCCAUGAGCUCGAGUGCCCACUUGGAGAUCUGUCCCACGGCGUCGCGGUUGUGGACGAUCUCCCCCAGUGGGUACGAGGUGACGACCAUGACCUCGUGGUCGGUGAAGUAGUGCAGGAGCUUCCGGGUCACCAUCAGCACGGCGUACAGAAGCUUCUGGACUUGGGGGUAGCGAACUUUGACAUCAACGAGUACCUCACUGACGAAGUACACCGGUCGUUGGACCUUCGGCGCGUCUCCCGGCUCCUCCCUCUCGAUGAUGAGGGCAGCGCUGACCAUGUGGUUGGUGGCCGCAAUGUAGAGGAGGAGAGGUUCUCCCCGUUCGGGAGCGACGAGGAUUGGGGCUGACGUCAGAGACGCUUUGAGGCUUUCCAAAGCCUAUUGUGCCUCCUCCGUCCAAACGAAAGUGUCUGUUUUCUUGAGAAGUUUGUAGAGAGGCAUCCCCCAUUCGCCUAGUCGGAAGAUGAACUGGCUUAAGGUGGUCAAGCUACCAUUUAGCCUCUGUACGUCCUUCACAUUGCGUAUGGGGCCCAUGUUGGUGAUGGCUGUGAUCUUUUCGAGGUUGGCUUCGAUGCAGCGCUCGGGCACGAUGUAUCCAACAACUUCCCCUUUGGAACCCUGAAAACGCAUUUCUCGGGAUUUAGUUUGAUGCUAAACCUUUGGAGGUUCGUGAAUGUUGCGGCUAAGUUCUCGAUCAGGUCUCUUGCUUGAGCCGUUUUUACUACUAUGUCGUCCACGUAGACGGCAAUAGUAGGUUUUGGCCGCUCGACUUGGUUGGGCUGGUCGGGUGGAUCAAUUUGAUCGGUGAAGCAUCGCUGCAUGCACCGUUGAUAGGUGGCACCCGCGUUCUUCAAACCGAACGGCAUGGUCACGUAACAGUAUGAACCAUACGGGGUGAUGAAGGAGGUUGCGACCUGGUCGGUCUCUUUCAUCGCGAUCUGGUGGUAGCCUAAGUAGGCAUCCAGAAAGGAGAGGAUUUCGCAUCCUGAGGUAGAGUCGACUAUCUGAUCUAUACGCGGUAAAGGAAAAUGAUCCUUGGUUCACGGCUUGUUAAGGCCAGUAUAGUCAACACACAUUCUCCAUUUCCCAUUCUUCUUUUUUACAAGAAUAGAAUUGGCGAGCCAGUCAAAGUGGUACACCUCCUUGAUGAAGCCAACUGCUAGGAGUUUGGCAAUUUCCUUGCCUAUGGCCCUACGCCUCUCGUCAUGAAAACAAUGCAGGCGUUGCUUGACGGGCUUUGAGCUCGGGGAGAUGCGUAGUGUGUGCUCGGCGACCUCCCUCGAUAUGCCCAACAUGUCAAAAUGUUUCCAUGUGAAGACAUCCCGGUUUGCACACAGGAAGUCGAUGAGCUCGCCUUCCUAUUUGGUCAGGAGCUGGGUCUCGAUCCGCACUGUCUUGAUCAGGUCGUUGGGGUCGAUCUACACCGCCUUGGUUACCUCAAUCGGACGUAUGACGCUCGUGGAGGUCAGCUCAUUGUAGUCAGGGACUGUCGGCGCGGCCACAUUCCUGAGCUUCGGGAGCUCAGCGGAGUUGACGAUGCUAGUGGCGAGCUCAUAGUGCUCGCGGUCGCAUGUGUAGGCGUGCGAGAAGGUGCUACCCACGGUGAUGAGAUCGUUCAGUCUCGGCAUCUUCAGCUUGAGGUAGGUGUAGUUCGGGACCUCCAUGAACUUGGCAUACAAUGGGCGCCCCAAGAUGGCGUGGUAGGACCUCAGAAAUUCCACCACCUCAAAGGUCAAGACCUCCGUGCAGAAGUUGGCACGAUCACCAAACAUGACGGGCAGGUCGAUCUACCCGAGUGGGUACGCCUGCGCCCCUGGGAUCACGUCGUGGAAGGGAGAGCUCACAGGGCGGAGCUUCGACCAGGGGACGUGCAUCGCGUCGAGGGUCUCGACGUACAGGAUGUUGAGGCCGCUACCUCCAUCCAUCAACACCCUGGUGAGACGCUUCUUGUCGACGAUGGGGUUGACAACAAGUGGGUAGCGACCCUGUUGGGGAAUGUGGGAAGGAUGGUCACUCUGAUCAAAUGUGAUCGGGGAGUCCGACCAGCGAAGGAAAGAGGGGAUGGCUGACUCGGCGGCAUCUACCUCUUGAUAGUGCACCUUGCGCUGGCGCUUGCUGUGGUCAGCGUCGGGCCCCCCGAAGAUCAUGAGGCAUCCCUCAGGGUCGGGGAAGCCGUCUCCAUCCUUGCCCAUGGCACCCCCCUUCUGGCCACGUCCUCCUUGCCUUCCCCUCCUUGGGUUUGGCGGCUUGCUGUAGGAAGCGCUUGAGGAGCUCGUAGUCCUUGUAGAGGUGCUUGACGGGGUAGGCGUGGUUGGUGCAUGGGCUCUCCAUGAGCUUGUCGAAGUGGUCAAGUUGGCCCUCUUUUGGCUACUUGCCUAGGCACUCGGUUGCGGCGACCAGGGUUGGGUUGGUCGGGUGGCGCCAGUCCUUCUUGUUCUUCUUGCCCUUCUGUGUGGAGGGGCCCUCAUCCUGGACCUCACGCUUGGCCUUGCCCUUGUCCCGACCGCCGCUGAAGACCACCCGGACCACCUCCUCAUCGAAGGCGUGGUUCGUGGCAAUGUCAAGCAGGUCGUGGGUGGUCCGGGGCUUCACGCAGCCAAGCUUGUGGACCAGGGACUUGCAGGUCAUCUCGGAUAGGAAUGCGUUGACGAUGUUUGCGUCGACUACAUCAGGAAGGGAGUUGCACUGCCUAGAGAACCUGCAGAUAUAAUCCCGCAGGGACUUGUUGGGCUCCUGCUUGCAACUGUUGAGGUUCCAGGUGUUCCCGGGACGGACGUACGUCCCCUGGAAGUUCCCGACAAAGACCUUCUUAAGGUCCGCCUAGUCGUGGAUGCUAUUGGGUAGAAGAAAUUCGAGCCAUGCCCGAACAAACUCUCCUACGCAGAUGGGAAGUACUGGAUGAUGAAGUAGUCAUCAUCCGCUCCACUAGCUUGGCAGGUGAGCCAGAAGUCUUCGGGCCAUACACCGGGGUUCAUCUCCCCAGUGUACUUGGUGAUGUUGGAGGGCAGUCGGAAGCGCUGUGGGAAUAGCGCUUUCUGGAUGUGGCGGCCAAAGGCCCCUGGUUCCGGGCUGUCCGGGCUGGGGCUCCGGUCGCUGUACCAGUUGCUCGAUCGGCCGCCACACCUAGGGUGCACCUCUUCAUACUCCUCGACCGGCCUGCAAGGUGGAAGCAGAAGAAGAAGAAAACAAAGAAGAAGAAGAAACUUUGCUAUUUUAAAACAGAUUCAAACAAAAUGAAUUCAAAUAUGAAAUUUGAACUCAGCAACCAAAAUCAAUGCAACAGCAUGGAUGCAACAAUGCAAACCUAAGAUUCAUUAAUUAAAUUUUAGAAAAAACAUUUAAAUGCCUAAGAAAUUGAAUAAAACCUUAGAAAAGCCUUAAAUCCUUAAACAAGCUUAAACAAAUUCUAGAAAAUUCUAAUAAAUUUUUAUUCAGUUGCAAAAUUGAAAAUUUAGGGUGUUACAAGUCUUGUAUGCACAAAAAAUGUAAACAGUACAAAAAACAUCAGCAUAAUGGUGUGAAACCACCAGUUAUGCAAGAUCACAUAAAUUGUAUUAAACUAGUUUUACCAACAUUUACUUGGUCGCCAUUGUGUUGGAGUGGUUACUUGCAAGUUAAACAAGUAAUAUAAGUCCUCCAUCAAUACCAGAUCAAAAACUACGUGGUCUGUCUAGUCACCUUCUUGACUUUGUUCGUAUCACACAUACCACGUGCUCCUCAGGCAAGACGCAAGCAGCUGGACAGAUGAGAAAUGGUAUUUAGUUAGGCGAAGCAUGUGGCUGCGUGCCACUGUGGUGUAUGUAAAACGAUACACGUCAUGCAUCAUCCAGUCAACUAACAAAUUUGACGUCUUCUCUUUGCUCUUAUCAAAAGAAAAAGUAUCCCUUUCUUUUCUUUUUGCUAUUGGGAUGCAGGGUUCAAGAUGGUAACCUUUUGCAACCAUAACUUACUUGCUCCUUCUGAGGCAAUAAUAAGCAGCUGCAUAUCAAAAGUGCUGUUUAGUUGGGCCAUGUAUAUAUAUGACUGCUGUGGUUAAUCAUGUUCAACAAAUUAAAAUAACUAAUCUAUAUAGUAAACUAUUUCCUCAAAAACUAAGUAACUUUCAAGAGAAUGUUUAAAAUAGAUGAUAUGGACAUACAGUUGUUCAUCAAAUUAAACACAUUAGUAGUGCCUACAUUAUUUCACUAAAUCAACUACAGAUAAGCAUCUCCUUCACCUACCUAUAUCUUUUCUUAUAACAAUAUACUUUCCUUGCAAACAAGUAAUUUCUAGACAAUGUUACAUAUAAAUUUAAUGAACAUAUAAUAACAUUUAUUAAUUGAGCAUACAGUGGUUUGUUUUAUCUGUUGGAGAUAUAUCUCCAAGCUUUGAAAACAUAACCCCUGAAUAUAGAGACAGGGCCUCGAGGACUUGACUCCUAGAUACAUAGAUUUGGAGCCCUCAACAUACUGGCUAAGUCUAGGUCCCGAAUAAGACUCCUAAUACUAAGUCUUAUCCUGAAAUGGAGUUCUAGAGACUAAAAUCUAGGGCCUGAACACGACUUCAAGAGACUAAGUCCGGGCCCUCAACAUACUCCAAACUGAGUCUGGCCCCUAAACAGGACUAGCAUAUUUGGGCCCAAAACAUACUCCAGAUCAACACUAUGGACCCCUCAACAUACUCCCGAUGUCCGGUAGUGCAAGUCCAGAGCCAUUAACACACUCCCAUACUAAGUUUGGACCCCAAACAGGACUCCUAGAGACUAUGUCCAGGGCCUCAACACCCAGAGACCAAGUCUGGGCACGGAAUAUGACUCCUAGAGACCAAGACUGGGCCCGGAACAGGAUUCCCAGAGACUAUGUCGAUCCAGGCCCAUAAGUGGAGGCCCAGGGGCUCGUCGACUGGAUGUAUAUAGGGCGCAUAGCGGCCCUAAAUAAGUAUAAUUAAAUCAUGUGUCUUACAUAGGGCGCUCAGCGCCCUGGUGAAGGCCCAUCAAAUGACCAGAAAUAGUGGUUACAUAUUACCAGCGCAAUAGUGGUUACAUAGAUUUUUUUGAGUCAGAAAAUGAAUUCCUACACAAUAUAAUAGUGGUUACAUAUUACCAGCGCAUUAAAAUGGCUAAUGUAGCAUUGUAAUUUGUGAAGAUAUAAAGACAUAAUCACACAUAUGGUAAAAGAUAAUGGCUAAUUGGUGGAUCGAUCGCAAAGGAAAUUGAGGCGCACCAUUCAAACCAUGCAUGGACUCAUAUGUACGGAAGAGUUGACGGUGCCGAUAAUGACACUAACAUUACAACGACCAUUGCUUAAUAUAAUAUCCUUACACUGCACCUAACCCAAAGUAACAAACAUUGAAACACAUUAGUCACUAAACACAUAUAAUACUAGUGUUCCCAAGUUGUCUCUCAUGCUUAAUUCGGUCUUACGCAUCGGAUGAUGCAAUUGGUCACCAACAGCUGCAGGAAACCCACACCAGCGUUAACUACUAUACCAUUAUUUCCUCACGGCCAUGAACUUCGAAGUGUAUGUGCCUGACGACAAGGGGAUGCUGGCCAGCGAUCAUGCGCUGUUCUUGAGCCCAGAGUGCUUGUCGUUCGUGGUGUGCCGGUCCCAGAUGGUCGGUUGCAAGAGCAACUACUACAUCUAUUCGUUGGUUGUUCACGCAUCGACGACGCCCAGAGAAGCUAGGGUGUGUACUGCAUGGAGGAAGGCCAGGGAGAUUCUACUUGACCAGGGCCUCAGACCUUUAGUGGGCCUGGAAAACGCUGCGCGGCACAUAUGCUUUGCUAUCCCUAGAGCUAGGGCAUGUACAAUAACUUGUUUCAUUCAAAAGUCAAAAGUUGCAGGUUCAUUAUAAACUCACAUGCUACAACAUUUAUUUUCAUAGAUAAAACCGGGUCCAUAAGUUAAUUUUAUAUAAGCUUCCCGUACAUGAAUAUAUGUAUCCCAAACAGGACAGUACAUCUCGUAGGCACACAGCAACAGUAGCAGUAUAUAAAUACUGCCAUUUAUUUUACAUAACUAUCAGAUUGUAGAAACUAGAAACAAGUAGUUGUUUGCAAAAUGCAUGUCAACCAAACUUUCCAUACAAAGAAACCCGUGCUUGAUUUAGUUUAGUAGUGGUUGUUCUCCCAGAACUGAGCCUGGAGCCAAUCAAUUGUCCCCUUUUCCACCUGGAAUGCCUUGGCUAACACAUCAUCCGAGAUUGGUGGCUUUGAUCCAAAGACCGCAUUAGCGAUGGUAAUAGCCCCAGGGUUUUGGCUGCUGAGCGCAGCGAGUGCAACCGCUGGCUUGUCAUGGAUGGGGUUGAACUGGAAGUGGAUGAGCCCUUCGGGGAAUACAAACACAUCACCCUUGUUGAGGACCUUGGCAAACAAUGUGUUGUUUGGGUUGGAGGUGACAAACCCAACAUAGAGGGUCCCCUCAAGCACUGUUAGGAUCUCAGUGGCACGUGGGUGGGUGUGUGGUGGAUUCUCACCUAGGGGUGCAUAGUCAAUGCGAGCUAGAGAGAUGCCUAGAGUGUUGAGACCAGGGAGCUGCAAGGCACUGAUCAAUGUGACAUUAGAUCCCACCUUGCUAUGCGCGGUGUUCCUAGGCUCGUCAAGUUUAGCUGCCUUGAAGAAGUCAUCUGCAUUCACGGCCAUGGGGUCCUUGCAAGCAAACCCAUUCACCUUCACUGUAUGCAUAGAAGAAGCCAAAUAGAUACACAUAGAUCAGAAACUAGGUAGCGCAGAAGAUUAGAAGUUCACUGUAUGCAAAGAACGAAGAAGGAAAAUAGAAACAGGAAGAUGUGCACUCUGACAGAAGAGCACUUGUUUUGAUUCGUGUUUACUACAUUAACAUCAAAACAUGCAUUAAACUAAGCCAGUGUUCAUGCAUAUACCAGGAGAGUGCUUGUCAGCUACACAGAAGUCCUGGAGUGGGCUAGGAUCGGAAGCAUUAGCCUGGCAAGCGACCAAUGCUAGAAAAACAGCAAGAAGGAAGUAGGAGGAGGGGGCCAUUUUUGUUUCUCCUCGUGCUUCUUUGUCGGUGCUUUUCGCAGUAGGCUAACCAGCUGCUUGUGUUUGUUUUCUUGAUGCUUUGGUGAGGAAGAAGGGGGAUGGAUGUGUUUAUAUAGCCACAGCACGGUAGCAUAUCGUGAACGUCUGAACAACUGAGUAAGUCACACGUUGAACCGGCCAACAGAAGAACUGGUCUCUGGUUGCUAGAACCUGCUGAUGGAACAGCACAGCUACAUCAACCUUUGAAAGCUAUAUCGCUUUCAAUAUUUUGACACGCUACUACCAAAUCUGAUCAGGUCUCUUUGCUCCUGGCCAAAUAUAGAAAAAGUAUACCCGUUCCUUUCUGUGUUGAAUGGCAUAAAUAAGAUGGUUACCCUGAGUGGCACACAUUUCAAUUGAUCAAUCUCGUACAUCAAANNNNNNNNNNNNNNNNNNNNNNNNNNNNNNNNNNNNNNNNNNNNNNNNNNNNNNNNNNNNNNNNNNNNNNNNNNNNNNNNNNNNNNNNNNNNNNNNNNNNNNNNNNNNNNNNNNNNNNNNNNNNNNNNNNNNNNGGCAGUUAGCACGCCAAAUUGUGAACCGCAAGCGCACGAAUCAGUUAUAUCUUCUCCGUCAGAGAUUCUCCAAGGUUUAUGAAUCCAUGGAACAAGGGAUUAUAAUGCCUAACUAUGCACUAUCGAUGUAACCGAAAGCUCUUUAUAUAGGAUAUGAUUAUGCUAUCAAAAGAACUAAGCAAUCUAGAUUAAGAUGGAUAGAGAGUAAAGGUUAUGGACAAGAUAGAUUAAACACUUGUCCUAGGGAUCUAGGAUCACUUGUAGAUGCAAUCGCCAUGAAUGAGCGAAUUAGAUCUAGGUGUUAUCGUGAGUGGUUGUGAACCAUGUCCAACACUUUCCCACCCGCAAUAAUGUUACUGCACAGGGAUACUCAACUAUCGGAACAUAAGAACACCUCAAGAUGAUUAUUCUAGGUAAGCAAAUAAGCAACCCAAAGUAGCGCUGGCUAACCUUUACAUGAAAGAGCAUCAUCAAGAUAUGAUUGAUAACAAAACAAAUCUUAACCAAAGGUUCGAUGAUUACAAAUCAAGAUCUUCAUACAACCAAGAGGACAAACAGAGGUAUUUCCUACUUGUGGUGGUAGUAGAUGGUGUUUACAUGGUGAUUUCCUCUCUUCUCCAACUCUCCUUCCUUGAAAUUCGUGAUGGGGUAUUUAUAGUCUCAAAUAGGAGGCGGCUCUUGGUCAAUGUCGGUGAAAAUACCCUAGAGAUCAUCGUAUGCUAAACACUGAAGAAACGGGAGGCCGACCGGGUCAUGGAAUGGGCUAGGCUGAUUGGUCUGGCCCUUCCUAGCACUUAUAGUCCUCUCCUUCCUUGUGCUGUCUUCCCUCGACGACCCAUGUCCAAAUAUCCAUUAAUAUCCUUAUAUAAACCCCCUUGACUAUGUCGUAUUUCCUGCCAAAAUACAAUAUGCUCCAAAACACAACACAUAUGCAAUAAUAUGGUUAUUUGAGGUGCCAAGUAGCGGGUUAGUAUAAGAAUAAGCAUGAAAACACUAGUUCAAUAGCACUAAAAGUGUAUCAAUAAUGAGCGUCAACAGCUAGCGCGGAGGAAAACGGUCCGAGGCAAGCUGGGCCAACAGAGGUGAGGCCAGCGGCCUGCUGCUGCAACAGCUGAAAGAGGGCCCAGGCCGAAGGAAGAUGAAGGCCAGGUGGAAGAAGAACAAGAAAACAAAGAAAAAGAAAAAACUUUGCUAUUUUCAAACAGAUUCAAACAAAAUGAAUUCAAAUCUAAAAUUUGAACUCAGCAACCCAGCAACCAAAAUCAAUGCACUCGCAUGAAUGCAACAAUGCAAACCUAAGAUUCAUUAAUUAAAUUUCAGGAAAACAUUUUAAUGCCUAAGAAAUUGAAUAAAAUCUUAAAAAAGCCUUAAAUACUUAAACAAGCUCAAACAAAUUCUAGAAAAUUGUAAUAAAUUUUUAUUCAAUUGCAAAAUUGAAAAUUUAGGGUGUUACAAAUCUUGUAUGUACGGAAAAUGUAAACAGUACAAAAAACAUCAGCAUAAUGGUGUGAAACCACCAGUUAUGCCUGAUCACAUAAAUUGUAUUAAACUAGUUUUACCAACAUUUACUUGGUCGCCAUUGUGUUGGAGCGGUUACUUGCAAGUUAAACAAGUAAUAUAAGUCCUCCAGCAAUACCAGAUCAAAAACUACGUGGUCUGCCUGGUCACCUUCUUGACUUUGUUCGUAUCACACAUACCCUCCGCUCCUCAGGCAGGAAGCAAGCAGCUGCAUAAAUGAGAAAUGGUAUUUAGUUAGGCGAAGCAUGUGGCUGCGUGACACUGUGGUGUAUGUAAAACGAUACACGUCAUGCAUCAUACACUCAACUAACAAAUUUGACGUCUUCUCUUUGCUCUUAUCAAAAGAAAAGUAUGGCUUUCUUUUCUUUUUGCUAUUGGGAUGCAGGGUCCAAGAUGGUUACCUUUUGCAAAAAUAAAUUUUAAAUUAGGGAAUAGAGUAAAUUAGGGAGUUUCCCAGUAAUCAACAAAGUGCUCAAGAUUCUCAUGAAAAGCUUUAGAUCUAGUAAGCGAUGCGCUAGAAGAACUUCGAGUCCACAAACUUUGGCUGAAUAUUACAAAAGAAUCUUGGAAGCAGGAGCAUAAAAAUUAUUGUACUUAGAUUGCAAGCAGGAGCAUAAAAAGUUGGGUACCACACUAGAAAUGCUGCAAUGGAUAGAAAAACAUCAUGUGUUUGAUAAGGGAUUUGAGGGAUAUUGAAUAUUGUAAAGAACAUGCUUCCUAAGAAUUAUGAAUUGCCAUCCACAACAUAUGAAGCUAAACAAGUUGUUUGCCCUCUAGGAUUGGAGGUUCAAAAGAUACAUGCAUGCCCUAAUUGUAUCCUCUAUCGUGGUCAUGAAUACGAGAAAUUGGAUGCUUGUCUUAUGCGCGGAGCACUGCGGAAUUAGAUCAUGCGAGAUGAUCCUGGUGAUGCUGAGGGCAGCCUCCCAAGAAGAGAGUCCCACGAACAUGAUGUGGUAUUUCCCUAUAAUACCAUGUUUGAAACAUUUGUUCAGAAACAAGGCGAAUGCUAAGUUGAUGCGAUGGCACAAAGAAGAAUGUAAGCAAGAUGACAUGCUGAGACACCCAGCUAAUGGAGCCUAGUGGAGAUAAAUUUAUAGAGCAUUCCCGGACUUUGAAAGGGAUGCAAGUAACAUAAGGUUUGGUUUAAGUAUUGAUAGAUUCAAUCCAUUCGGUGAGUUGAGUAGUGGUCAUAGUACUUGGCCUGUGACCCUAUGUAUGUUCAAUCUUCAUCCUUGGCUAUGCAUGAAGCAGAAGUUCAUUAUGAUGUGGUGCUUAUCCAAGGCCCAAAACAACCCGGCAACGACAUUGACGUGUACCUAAGACCGUUGGUUGAUGAGCUUUUACUGCUCUGUAAGGAAGAAGGUGUACGUGUGUGGGAUCAGGAUAAACAAGAGAGCUUUGUCCUACGAGCAUUGUUGUUUAUAACCAUCAAUGAUUGGUAUGCAUUGAGUAACCUUUUAGGACAACCAAACAAGGGAUACCGGGCCUGCAACCACUGUUUGGAGGAUACAUACAUCAUGUAUUUGAAACAUUGUAGGAAGGUUAUGUAUAUGGGUCAUCGUCAAUUUUUUCCUGCUAACCACCCAUUAAGAAAGAAAGGGAUGCAUUUCAAAGGGGUGCUAGACUAUAAAAAACCUGCACACCCUAAUGAAAAGCAUGUAUUUGAGAUGAUAAAGGAUGUAGUAGUCUUUAGAAAGGGUCUUGGUAGCAAACCUGUCCUGAACGAUGAUAACGGACGUGCACCCAUGUAGAAGAAGAAGUCUAUAUUUUGGGAGCUACCUUAUUAGGAAAUCCUAGAGGUCCGCAACGCAAUUAACAUGAUGAACCUGAUGAAGAAUCUUUGAGUGAACAUGCUAGGCUUCCCGGGUUGUUAUAGGAACUCAAAAGAUACAUUGGAAGCAUGAUAGGACCUGAAACUUAUAAAGCAACAAGAUGAUCAUUAUCCGAAAAAGAGAGAUAAAGGACAACACUACUUACAUCCUGCCAAUUACACUCUCAGCAAGGAAGAGAAGAAUAGCAUGUUUGAUUGCAUGAAUAGUAUCAAGGUUCAGUCUGGGUACUCCUCGAAUAUAAAGGGAAUAAUUAAUAUGAAAGAAAAGAAAUUCACAAAUUUAAAGGCCCAUGACUACCACAUGUUGAUGACCCAGUUGCUUCUGGUUGCAUUGAGGGGUAUUCUACCAGAGAAUGUACGAUUGGCUCUCGUAAAGCUAUGCACAUUUCUCAAUGCAAUUUCGCAGAAGGCAAUUGAUCCAACCAAGCUACUAAAGCUACAGAAUGAUGUGGUACAAUGUCUUGUCAACUUUGAGUUGGUACUUCCACCAUCCUUCUUCAAAAUUAUGAUGCACCUCCCAAUUCACAUAGUUAAAAAGAUUACUAUUCUCGGUCUAGUAUUCCUGCACAAUAUGUGAUCUUUCGAGAGGUUCAUAUCAAUCCUAAAAAACUAUAUUCUUAAUCAUGCCCGUCCAAAGCGAAGCAUCACCAAGGGAUAUGGAAUCGAAGGUCAUUGAGUUUUGUGUUCAUUUUAUUGACUCAAUUAAUUUGAUUGGGGUUCCAGUAUCAUGUCACAAGGGGAGGCUACGGGGGAAGGGCACCCUUGGAAGAAAAUCAUGUUUGAACACUGAUAGUGAUUUGUUUCAUAAAGCACACUUCAUGAUUCUGCAACAAUCAACCUUGAGGGCCCCGUAUAUCGAGGAACACAACCAGAUUCUAUUUUUCCAAUACCCAAUGAAAUCCGAUGCCUGAAUUAUAUGUCAUCACAUGAUUACUUUUCCCUCUUGGUUGCGUCAACACCUUAUGGGUAACUCCAUGAUUCAUGAACAACUUGUUUGGUUAGCUAGGGGGAUCUUCUAGCACAAUCGUGAAAUUCCAGGGUUACGAGAUAAAUGGUUAUAUAUUUUACACAAGAGCUCAAGACCAAAAAAGCACUAACUAAAAUAGUGACGUCCGUACAGAUGUCAUAGACAGCCACAAGAGCAAUGACUUGUAUUAUGAUUUUAUAAAGGAGAUUUGGGAACUCGACUACUGACUGCUGAACAUCCCUCUAUUUCGUUGCUAAUGGGUGAAGCUGACUGGAGGUGGUGUAAUGAAAGAUCAAUAUGGAAUGACAAUAGUGGACCUAAGCAAGACUGGAUACAAAGAUGAACCAUUCGUCCUUGCUAAUGAUGUGCAUAAGGUUUUCUAUGUGAAGGACAUAUCUAGCAAACCCAAGAAUAAUUCAGAAGAUAAAGAAAAAUAAUGGGAGCCAAAGUGCCACAUAGUUCUUCCAGAUAAAAGAGUAACUGUGGGAGUCGAGGACAAAACGGACCAGUCAAAUGAUUUUCAUCAGCUUGAUGGCAUGCCUCCAUUCGCUGUCGAAGUUGACCCAAGCAUCAUGCUAGCCAAAGAAGAGGCUCUGUACUUACGCCGUGAUCAUGACCAAGGAACUUUGGUCAAGAAGAAAUUUUUUAAUGUUACAUUGUAAUGAUCUAUGGUCAACCUUUAUGUAAUGCUCUAUGGUCAUAUGUCAGAACCUUUCUAUUAUAUUUUAGUGAUAUGAAAAACUAAUUUAUGUAAUGCACUAGAUAUGAUCAUCGAGUUUUUUGGUCAUCACAUUAUUAUUUGAUCAAAUUAUUAUGAGGUUGUGCGGGAAAUGCAAAGGGGAGGAAAUUGGGACUUCCAUCAAGAGCAAGUUCAAAAUUAUUAUGAGGUUUAAAACAAUUGAAUACACUUUAUCAUGAUCAAAUUAUUUAUUAUAAGAGUUUUUUAUCAAUAAAGUGUAGAAAUUAUUUGAUAAUUUAAUAUAUUUUUGCAUGUUCAAAAUAUUGAAUAUUACCAUUUUUCUUGGAUGAUAGAAGUACAAAAUAAAUUUAGAAACAUAUGAAGAAAUCAACUUAAUUUAAUCGAACUUUUGGUAUAGCGUGGGAAGUGAAAUGGGAGAAUUCGUUUAGUCCCGGUUGGUAGUAACAACAGGGACUAAAGGGGGGGCAUUUUCAUCUGCCGCGUGCCAGCCACCCUUUAGUCCCAGGUGAUAUUAUGACCAGGGACUAAAGACCCCCCCUUUAGUCCCAGGUGGUAAUACCAACAGGGACUAAAGAGCGAUAUAAAUAUUCCAACCCCUUCUCUGUCCUCGGGACCUAGCCGUUUUCAUCGCCUUCCGCGCCCUUUCGUCAUCCUCGUCGCCUCCGAAGCCGCCGCAUCGCCGCCGUCAUCUCCGCGGGCAUCCACGAUGAUGUCAUCAUCGCUCCCCGGCCACCGCAUCGCCACCAUAAUCUCCGUGCCCUGGUUCCCCGGUGUGACCCCCCCUCCCCCUCCCCAUCCCCACAGAGCGUCGCUUCAGGUGUCCCGGCCCGACACCGCACGCCGCCAUGCCGCUGACCUUGAUCUCCUUUGCCUCCGCGCCCCGCAGCUCCCCGGUGGCGCCCUCCUCAAACCCCAACAUCACCCUCCCGCCCUAGCACUGUGCACCCAGCCGCAUCACCACCGUCGACCGCCCCUUCUCCUCCGGCUAGCCCCCUCUGCGACGCUCGCGUGGCCCCGACAACGCCCCUCUUGCGCCGCCAUCCGUCGCAGCCCCCUGUGCUGCCUUCCUGAUGCCCCGACCUACCCCCACCACCCGUCAGCUGGUAAGUACGGUGCCAAUCGGGUGCUAACGCAAGCCAAAAAGGAUUGCCAUCAUCAUCUAGGGCAAGAUGGAACAUGACCUACUUGAUCGAGGUAUCGUAUCAGCGACUAUUAACUAGCCUAAUCAAUCAAAGAAUUGGUAUUACGCUCCUGGAGGCACCCUUAGCCCUGAGGAUGGGACUUGUUUUCAAUGAAACAAUAUGUGAGAAGGCCCUUAGGCUUAUCGAAAACAUUGAAGAUUCUAAAGUGGGAAAGUUCAAGCUUGAUAGAGAGAAUGAUGAGCUGACUUUAGCGCUCAGGAAUCCCGAACACCCAGGACAUUGCCGAGGCUUCGGUGUGGUUUCAAGGAAGUAGGCUUUCCAUAGGGACAUUGACACAUACAAAAGCUAGAAGAGAAGAAAGGAACACCAAGAGGAGAGGUGGCGGCGCAUGUUAGAAGCUAAAGUGCAUGAACAAGAUGUAAGAAUGUCGGAAGAAAUUAAUUGGCGAGUGGCCCUGGCAGUUAUUGAGAUGGCCCAAUCUGGAGUACUGCUGGAUCCCAACGUCGUCUUUAGCCCUUCUCAAUGCUGAAGCAACUGUGCUGGACAAUCUUACCCAUGGUUGUGCUGGACAACCAACGGUACCUUGUGGAUGACAUCACUCAGCGCACCUCAUGUGAGCUGUAUAGACCAUUUGGCAACCUCCCUAUUAAGGUUACAUAUAUAUAAUAUAUGCAACUAUCUCAAUUGAUCCACGCCUCAAUCAGGAAUUUAAUAACUUCUUUAUUUCUCCUAUAUGUAUAGGUGGUGUACGGAAGUGCUUUACCAAUACUGCCAGGGCAAACAAGCCAUGGCAUGACGAUUCCACCUGGCUGCUCCAUUGUUGGGGAGGAGCAAAUUUUUGAUAGUAAAUAUGAAGGCCUAGAGCUCGACCUCCCGAGAGGUGAUGGGGAAAGGACACUAGGAGAUGCACUUCAUGGUAUCAUUCUAUGGCGCAAAUAUUACAUCAUCAUUCCUAGCCAGGAGGCAUCAUUUCUUCUCAUAGAUCCCCCACAACCACCAUCUCCUUAGAACUCAAGACCGUCAUCUCCAGCACAUCCAUCUCUAGGACCGUCGUCACCACCAGGACCGUGGCAUCCUGCUUGGUCACCAUCUCCAACACCAUCGAGUCCUGUAGGUGGGAGCGACAAUGAACAAAACAACCCUCCUCAAUCACCAUCUGCAGUGUUUGGACUAAAGUCUAGUGUGAGCAAGGAACCAUCUGGAACACCUCUCAAGAAGUCACGACCACCGCCUUCCAAGCCAAGGAAGGCAGCCAAAGGCGAAAGAACCGAGGAAGCACACAAACAAGUUUGAACCUAUUAAGAAGCUAGCAGGCAAUAUGACUCUCGAGGAAUUGAAGCAGGCAUCGCAAGCACAUGUAAGGGAGAGGUUGGAAAAAAAUUGCCGCAGAAAGAAAAGCGAAGGAGAUGGAGCCUAAGCCAGUAGAUCAAGCCACUUUAAAGUUUUUUUUUCUAUGAAAAAACAAGUCAAGAAAACGUUACCAUCGAACUACAAUCGUUCGUUAAUUAAGUCUUGGCAGAAGAAAAAACAAGGAGAGUUGUUGUCCAGUCGUACUAUCCCCCAACUUGAGGAGCAAGAUCAACAAGCAGAUCAAGAAGCUCAACAAAUAACAGCUUUGCCUUUAGAACAAUAAAUCAAGGUCAUUAAGUUUAUGGAAGUGACAGGUCUCUCGCUUGCUAAAGUUCUAGGGCAAGAUGAACCACCACCUGCGGAAAAGACUGUACCAAAAUGGCCCUUUGAGUUAGGCAAGCCUCUAGUAAGGCCUGAAUUGGUAUGAAAGCUCACAACUAAGUUGUAUGAAUUCAAUAAGUGGUACAUGGAGCAGUUGGCCAAUGAUAGAGCAUGUUCCCUCUUCUUCUUAAACCUAUUAAUUUUUUCAGUGAAAGUGAGAAACUGAUGUGGUUGGAAUUUAAAGAUAUUUAUGAAGUGUACCAUCAAGAUGCCCUUGAUGUCUCUCUUAUCAGCGCCUGGGUUCUGUAAGUGUGUGUUAAUUAGAUGUUAAUUUUAGCUCAGCUCAUUAUUAGGUGUGUGUCGUCCCACUAACUUUGUCUUUCAUUUUAUGUAGGAUGCAAAUUCAAAGGUGCCGCCGAGAAUCCUACUUCAACGUUGGCCUGAUGGACCCAACACUUGUUAACCAAAAGCAGAUACGGAAUCAUCCAAAGUCUACAUUGGAUGCAAUAUACAUAUUCUUGUAGCAACAGAAUUACAAGCGAUACAUACUACUGCCUUACAAAUUUAAGUAAGUGUGGGUACCGUCUAUUUUUGUUUUCCUUUCCUUACCUAAUUAGUAUUAGUUAGUUCUAAUAUGGACAUUUAUGUACAUAGUUACCACUGGAUUCUUCUUAUAAUUAUGAUUGAUCAAAGCAACGUUAUUAUAUUUGAUUUGUUGAGGAAAGCAAAGGGCGAGUACCAAGACAUUCAAAACAUGCUUAACUCAUAAUAAUUUUUGACCUUUAUCUCUAUGCAAAAGUUUGUUUCCUAAAGUUUCACCUAACACUGUAUCAUAUUCAUUAAUUUAAUUCACAGCGCAUGGAAACGCUGGUACAAAACUCGCCUUUAGUCCCGGUUGGUAGGGGGCAAAUCUCCCAAAAAUCCAUUUAAUUGUUGGUGUAACAUUCACAUAUUUUGAAGGAUAAUUGUUGGUGUAACAUUCAUAUAUUUUCAAAUUACAAAUGUGACGGAUUAGCGAAGAACUCUUGGAGAAGGAUAGGCUUUUGGCAAUCCAAGAAGCUCUCAUAGAAUUUCUGGUGGAUGAGGCGAUAAAUCCUAAAGGAUCCUAAGAAUUAAGUGGACAAAUUAUUGUAUAUAUAGAUACUACUUUGAUGUGUAUUAUAUACUAAGAAUUGUAUAUAUAGUAGUUAUAAUUAAUAUUAUGCAUAUACUAUCAUGAAAUAUAUAUAUAUAUAUGACAUGUAUAAAAUACGAGCGUAUACGUCUUAGUGGUGUACGCUAAGGAUGUACAUGUAUAGGUAAAUAUAUAUAUAUAUAUAAAUAAGUGAAGCAACAAUUAGUGUAAUAUGGAAAAGAAUUCAUAGUAAAAAGAAAAAAGGUCUUUAGUCCCAGGUGAGUGACCUGGGACUAAAGAGGGGACCUUUAGUCCCGAAAAAUUAGUUCCGGUUGGAUAUUCGAGAGAUAUGACUCUCUCCAACUGGGACUAAUGCUCACUUUUCCACAAAUGGUGGUUUAUUAAUUAUUGCAAUGCAAGGUGCUGUUGUUGAUAUGGUUCACAAAGAAAUUAAUAAGUGUCAUCAUCCAUUAUUUACCAAAUCACCUAAAAAAUGGUAUUAUGUAUAUGAUCCAAUUUUCCAAAACAAAAGGGACAGAGUCACGUACAACACAUCAGACCCUGCCAUGUGUGCAUAGCUGGUGCACUGUCAUAGAUCUGAAAAGUAGAAGGAUGGACCAGUGCAUCGGUCAAUCUAUUGCGCUCACACAGGAUGUAAGAGGGAGAACUUGUCAAGGUAGGUGUCGUGCACAUUUUACUUUUGGGCUCACAUAACUUGGCAUCAUUCGUGAUCACACUCUUUACUUGUGAGAUAAUCAGGUCCUACACAUAUAUAUUUUUAUUGCAAGACUAGUUUCAACUUAAAACAUGUUCAACUUUUUAACUGAGUCUUUUGUUGAUUGGUAUUUUAUUAGCGUAUGGUGGGACUAGUUUUCUUUCUAAGCCUGCGUUCACCUUGGUUCAGAGUGGAUUCAAUCUUGUAAAUUAUCAGGCAUAUAUAGUCCGUUGGUAGGACAAGAAAGGGCGUAUAUAAUAAGCAAUUUAGUCAUGGAUGAUCGGAAUAAUAUCCUGAAAGGCUUUACAAACAGAUCUUAUCAUAUCUUUGCUUUGUACCUAAUGUAGCUACUACACAAUGUCCAUAUUUUCAUCUAUGAUCGCCUGAGUCACAGAAGGUUAGUGUAUCCAACAUUUAUACUUGGCAAUUUUGUUGGAGCAGUUACUUGCACGACUUAAUCUAGUGCACCCGUACCAAGAUGGGAACGGUAGCUAUCGCACAUGCUUUUGUGCUAAACAAGUAAGGCUCCUUUCAAUACAAAGUAACCACGUGAUCAGCUGCCUAGUCAACUUGACUUGUUCAUAAAUCAUACCCAUACCUGCUCCUUCUGGCACACUAAGCAGCUGCAUAUGAAAAGUAGUGGGGCUGUGAUUAAUCAUGUUUAACAAAACAAUAAUCUAUAUAAUGCUGAUCAAGUCAAUUUUAAAUAUAAAUCAUAUGAACAUUAAUGAUUUCUUGGCUUAUUCAUAUGCAGUUCACUACACUUGUUUCUUUUUAUGUUCUUGGAUGUGUGAUUACUUGAACGCAGCAUACGCAUUUAUAAUUCUCAAGUCUCCGAUACUGCAUAGUCCUGAUAAUCGAACUCCUCAAAAUCCUAAACCAGGAUCAGCGUUGCCGGCCUUAAAUUCGUUUUUUUAAUGGAAAUAAUUUGACCUUUACGACUGCACACAGCCAUCAACGGCCUUAAAUUCUUGACAUCAUUUAACGUCCGCCACAGGCGCUGGCAGCGGCAACUUCUCGUGUCCACCUCAUCGAGAAGAUCCUGUACUGAUCGACUCGGCCCCUACGCCUCGCACAGUUUGUAAGUCAUGCGUGUCUACCGUCACCUGGCGGCUUGCGAGACCCGUCUUGCACUUGUUCAUUGACGCGCUCGUACGUCUCCACCAUUCUGUAGCUAGACAACCUGUUCAUUUCCAAUUUUUAUCUCGAUGGUGAACAGGGCCAAGGUGACGCUGGGCAAUGGUAGUUGUUUUUUUAUUUUAUGAGCCGAGGAAGCACGCACGGGUAGAGAACCCGGUAUUAGUCCCGGAUGGGGGACGUAAAUCUCCCCAAAAACCAUCCGAGAUAAAGCAAUCGAGACAAAAAGGAGGUCUUUUAUCCCGGAUCCCUCAACCGGGACUAAAGAAUCCCUUUUAUCCUGGUUGGAAAUACCAACCGGGAUAAAACGGUCGCCAUGUCAGGGGCAGCCCCCGCCCCCUUUUAUCCGGUUGGUAUUAGCAACCGGGACUAUAUGGUUUUGCAAAAAAAAAUGCAAAAAAGGAAAUCCCGGGGGGAGGGGGGGGUCCUUGGGAGGCCGCCCACACACGCAUGCUCCAAGUCACAAGUCAUAUGUCACGUGAUUUUUCACGCGAAAUAUGCGCAUGCGCGCAAUAAGUUGUCACACACAAAUCAAAACAACCAGUUGCAUGCAGGCUACCAGAAACCCACAUGUUAAAUAUAUUCAUUCUUCUACAUAUCUGGAUGCACAGAAAUAUUGAUUUAUGUAACAUCACAUCAUGAAUAUACAUACUUCAAGAAAUUUUAUACAAGCUCCAUGCAGUUUACUUCAGUUUUCCAGAGAGAGCAGGGUACAGAUCGCAGGCACACAAUAUGCAAGUAAUAAGCACUCACCAUUUAUUUUAUUGAUCGUAGCAUAUAGAAACUCAAAACAUGUAGCAAUAUGCAAAACGCAUACAAAGCAGACACUCAGUACAACAAAGCCAAAACACUAACUACAUUUAGUUGUGGUUAUUCUCCCAGAAUUGAGCUUGGAGCCAAUCAAUUGUGCCCUUUUGCACCUGGAAUGCCUUGGCCAAGACAUCAUCUGAGAUCGGUGGCUUUGAUCCAAAAACCGCAUUUGCGAUGGUAAUAGCCCCAGGGUUCUGGCUGCUGAGCGCGGCAAUAGCAACUGCUGGCUUGUGAGGGUUUGGGUUGAACUGGAAGUGGAUGAGCCCUUGUGGGAAUACAAACACAUCACCCUUGUUGAGAACCUUGGCAAACAGUUUGUUUGGGUUGGAGGUGACAAAUCCGACGUACAGGGUCCCCUCGAGCACGGUGAGGAUCUCUGUGGCACGUGGGUGGGUGUGUGGUGGAUUCUGACCUAACGGCGCAUAGUCAAUGCGGGCCAAUGAGAUGCCCAGUGUGUUGAGUCCAGGCAACUGCAUGACAUUGAUCAAAGUGACAUUGGAUCCAACCUUGCUCUUCUUGGUGUCCAUAGGCUUAUCAAGGUUGGCUGCCUUGAAGAAGUCAUCUGCGUUCACGGCCAUGGGGUCCUUGCAAACAAAUCCAUUGACCUUCACUGCAAAUAUAGAUGAAAGAAAAUUGGUAAACACAUAUUAGAAAUUAUUGGAGGCAGUAAAUAAAGAUGCUUUUUGUAUGUAGAUGUAUGUUAACAAAUGAUUUUUUUGUGAUCAUAGAUUUGGUUAAGGAACACAUAAUGAUUUGAAGCAACUGCGUUCGUACCAGGAGAGUGUAUGUCGGCAACACAAAAGUCCUGGAGCGGGCCAGGGUCGGAAGCAAUGGCUUGAGAAGUGACCAUUGCUAGAAAAGCUGCGAGCAGAAAGUAGGAGGCAGCCAUUUGAGUUUGUCUCAGCUUUUGUGUUUGAGCUCUGAAGUAGACUAUUCAGCUGCUUGUGAUGGUGUAUGUCUUGUUGAUGCUUUGGGCAUGGAGAUGGUGGGCUUAUAUAGGCUGCCACAGAAAGUGGCAACAUGAAGUUGACGACUGAACUAGUCUCGCUAUGUUGAACGUACCAAAACAGAAGAAACGGUCUCUGGCUGCUAGAAGCUGAUGAUGAAACAACGCAAUAAAAAUUUAAAGCCGGUAACUAAUUCCUUGAUGUGUAGUGGUUUAAUUAUUUGUUAAUUGUUACCACGCAAGGUACUGCUGCUGAUACGGUUCAGAAAGAAAGCGCCCUCGUCCAUUAUUUACUUAACUAACUGCCACAGAAAAGUUGAAAUAUGGAGAUGAUCAACUUUCUAAAGCAAACUGACAGGGUCACACGAUAUGAGCCCUGCACAGGCGCGUAGUUGGUGCACUAUGAUAGUUGUGAAAACUAGAAAAAUGGUAUGGUGCAUCCCGGUCAAUCUGUGCUUGCACACACACAUACGUACAGAAUUAAAGAGUCGACAGUGCAAAGGUGUUUAUUUUUAGAUUAAUUCACUUUGUAUACUCAUACAAUAAUCAGUCUCCCUAUCGUCAUUCAUGAUCACCUCAUCUUUUUUACUUUUGAGUUGAUCAGGCACGGCUUCUAUCGCUACUAGAUAAGAAACAGUUAUCUGCCUAUUCAACUCCUUGACUUGUUCAUAUCACACACAUAUCAUCACACCCGUAUAGGAAACUGCUGUUUAAUUUAGGCCAAGUAUUCGGGCGUUGCUAAGUGGUUUAUUUGCUAUGACUUAAGAACUGCAGGAUCAGGUGAUGGCUAAUAAUGCUCUAGAAGCAUAGAUCAUUAUUUAAAAUACUGAUCAGUACUAGAUAAUACAAAAAGUAUUUUGCAUUAAAUCUCAAAACCAUGAACAGAUGUCUAUCCACAUAAUAAUUAUUUCUCCGUUAAUCUUAAUAUACUGGUUUUAACUUAAAAAGAAAACAUGAUCACCAACUUUUUGUUUACUGAGUCUAUGCUUGAUACUUUAUUAGUGUAUGGUGGGACGGCUGCUGCUUAGUGAUUCAAGAUGGUAAGCAUUAAUUUUAAAAAAAUGUAGAAGUUUAGAUUAUGGAGUAAUGUUCAUAAAAGAUAUUUCCAUUAAUCACUACAGUGCUCGAGAUCCAAAUGAAAAAUGUUGAAGCUGGUAAAUGAUUCUUUUAUGCGUAGUGGUUUGUCAAUUGUUACCAUCCACGGGCAUUUUAUUGAUUCGAUUCAUAAAAAAAGUGUCAUCCAUUAUUUAGUUAAUUAACUGAUAGAAAAUUGAAAUAUGAAGAUGAUUUAGUUUUCUAAAAAAAAAUAGAGUCACACAAGAAUUAUAAGAAUGGCAUAUGAGCAGCUUGUGGACUGUGAUAGUUGCGGAAACUAGAAAAAUGGUAUGGUGCAGUGCAAAGGUCAAACUAUGCUUGCACUCACCUAAAUAAGAGUAAAAAGCGUGCAGAAAUCUAUUGUUACUUCCUAAUAUCCGCACAUUGUACCUUAUACAAUGAACAAUUUCCCUGUACUCAUGUUCACCUGAUACCAAGAAGGCAUGCAAGAACAACUUGUAGAGGGGAAGCUGCCACACACGAUUUACUUUUGAGAUCAAACCAAAUUAGCUGUGUCCUCACACGCUUUCCUUGUGAGUUAAUCAUCAGGUCAGGCUGCUAUCACUCCUAGAUAAAAGUAAAAAAGAUGAUCUGCCUACUCAGCUCCUUGACUUGUUCAAAUAUUACACAGGUAUGUGUGAACGUGCUAAUUAAUUGAGGCCAUGUAUUCGGCUGCUGCUUAGUGAUUUAACGGCCUAUGACUUAUGAACUACAGGAUUAGGUAAUGCAUAAUCAUGCUUUGAAAGCAUAACUAAUUAUUUAAAAUACUGAUAAAUACCAGACAAGAUGAAUAUAUAUAUACAGUAUAUAUAUAUAUAUAUUUAAAAUCAUGAAUAUAGUUUUAACUUAAAGAGAAUACUUGUGCAGUUUUUUUUUGUUAGUGUGUGGUAUGUGGGACGGGUUUUCUUUCUUGCUCUGCAUCUAUGCCUAGGCCCAUAAAGUGGAUUCAAUUUUUAAGGCAUAUACAGGUCCCUUUGGUAGAAGAAGCUGGAUUAAGCGUGUAGCUGGUGGACGGCGCUGCUUGGUGUAAACUAAUUACGAAGAAAUGAUGUUGCCUCUGUCAAUUUAGUUAUGUAUGCAUUCAAAAAGAAAAUCCCACGUCAUGGAGCACUUACAAACAAACCUUAUAAUAUCUAUGCUUUGUACCUAACACAGCUGGUAAAAAACUCAAGGUUAUUGUCAUCGAUGAUCACUUGGCCAUAGAAGAUCAAGGUUUCCAAUAUUUACUAGGCCAGCAUUUUGUUGGAGCAGCUACUUGCAUGACUUAAUCCAAUGCAUCCGUACGAUGAUGAGGAGGGUAGCUGUCGCACAUGCUUGCCUGUUGAAUAUUACCAGGUCAGUAACCAUGUUAUUGGCCUAGUCAACUUCUUGACUUGUUCAUACUAUACCGCCGAGUCAAUAAGCAGCUGGAUCUCUUUUCUUACAAUACUAUAUAUAGUUUAUACUACACUUGACCUGAAGAGAGAACAUGCAUGCAUGUACAUUUUUUCAAAGAUUCAAUUCUAUUGUUGCUUGAUAUUGUAACAGGGGAGGGUGUGGGAGGGUCUAUUUGUUGAUUCACAGCCUAGGUGAGGUAUGUUUGACUAGGUGCUUUGAAUAUCUUGUGUAUUUUCCGUAGCUCUAAAAAUGUACUCCUUUCGUUUUAAAAUAUAUGAAAAAUAUCUUGUCCUAAACACCGUGCAUUUAAAAACAUAGUACUACUGUUUGCACAUCAAUUGUCUAAAUUUGCUGGUCUGGAUGUUUCUUUUAAAAUAUUGGUGUUAUUAGUUAGAUAGAAAAUUCUGCUCCUUGCGCGUUGUUGCAACUUGAAACCACAUUGUCUGUAGGAAAUUAAAUGAUAGAUAAUACUGAUCUUUGUAAUUUUGGGGUUAAUUUAUAGGAACUAAAGCACAAUUCGAACUAAUGAUUUUAGAUGGUUUUAAUGGUGAUUUCUUCCUGCACUAUGUAAGAGGGUUUACGAGUACACUAUCAAAUAUUUGAAUAAUUGAAUGGCUAAUCCUCCUUCAAAUCGUCGUUUCAUUAUGUGGAGUACAGUUACAGAAGUUGUACUAAUCAUGUUGGACACACUAGCAAAUCUGGCUUGUUUUAUUUGCACUUACAACGUAACACUUACUCCCUCCGUCCCAAAAAGAAUGCAACUCUCACUUCUCGAGGAUUCAAACGGUUUUAAAUUUGACUCCGAAUAGAUUUAGUAUAAAAAUAUAUUACAUGGUUAAUCUAUUGAUAUUUAUUUUGUACCAUAAAUGUUAGUACUAUUUUGUAUAAAUUUGGUCAAAUUUAAAAUUGGUUAACUUCUCAGAAAACGAGAGUUUCAUUCUUUUUGGGACGUUCCUUUCUUUUUCUUGCACAUGAGAUUACUUGGACGCAGCAUAAUUCUCAAGUGUCCAAUGCUGCGUGUGGUCCUGAUAAUCAGACCCCAUUUGUCAAUAUCUUGAAGCAGGAGCAGUGCUAGCGGCCUGUGGAAAUGUCGACAUCGUUCAAAACGCAGCCGAUCAAAGACAAAAAGCUGUCACGUCAGCCAAGCACCGGAACCAGUUUGUUGACAAGCUCGUCUUCACAAUUCUAGACAACCUGUUUGUUCCAGUACGUGUUCCAUCUCAGUGCAAGCAUCAUCUCUCCAUCCCAACUGAGCCAAGAGAUGCUGCAAUAAUCUGCAAGGACUCCAGAGCGACCAGAGGAACGGGAGGUUUCAUUUGAGCACGGCUUCAGUUUCAUGGGCUAACAUCUUGCGUGUAACAGGCUUCAUGUUUCGUGGCUAUAUGGAUGAAGAUAAAUUGCACCGUGACACUCAAAGGACAAUAAUAAGUUUUUUGCGGGUAUAAGGACAAUAUAAUAAGUUGAGGUACAAGUCAAGACCAUCUGUGUUGAAGAAAAAUAUUGUUUACAUUAAUAUAAAACGAAGACAUAUAAUGGUACAACAGCUCGCAGGCACACAUUAACAAGAAGUCAGUAGUACCUAAUAGUCACCAUUUAUUUUCUAAAUCGUAGCAUAGAAACUUAAAACAUGUAGUUAUAUGCAAGAUGCAUAUAACGAAAACUCUCGGUACAACAAACCUAAAACAUUGAUUACUUAGUUGUGGUUAUUCUCCCAGAAUUGAGCUUGGAGCCAAUCAAUUGUCCCCUUUUGCACCUGGAAUGCCUUGGCCAAGACAUCAUCAGAAAUUGGUGGCUUUGAUCCAAAAACCGCAUUUGCGAUGGUAAUAGCACCAGGGUUCUGGCUGCUGAGCGCAGCUAUAGCAACUGCAGGCUUGUCAUAGACAGGGUUGAAUUGGAAAUGGAUGAGCCCUUGUGGGAAUACAAACACAUCACCCUUGUUGAGCACCUUUGCAAACAGUUUGUUUGGGUUGGAGGUGACAAAUCCAACAUACAGGGUCCCCUCGAGCACGGUGAGGAUCUCUGUGGCACGUGGGUGGGUGUGUGGUGGAUUUUGACCUAACGGCGCAUAGUCAAUACGGGCCAAUGAGAUGCCCAGUGUGUUGAGUCCAGGCAACUGCAUGACA